ACAAAUGUUAGAGCGUGUAGCUUACAUGCAGACACUUGUUAGGGCAGCCUAUACUAACCAGCUCAGAAAGAAUCCAAAAAUGACAAAAUCUGUCACCUCAGCAUUUUGUACAGCGCUUGGAAAUUUGAUUGCCCAACUAUUACAAAACACUAAGCUAUCAGACCUAGACAUCAUUGGUACUGCAAAGUAUUCUAGUUUUGGCUUUAUAAGCGCUCAAAUAAUUCACGCUUGGUACAAACUACUUGAAAAGUAUACUAGCAACCUACGCUAUGCAUUGCUCAUUCAGCUAUUCUUGGACCAAGCUAUUUUUUCUCCUAUCUACUUUGUCAUCUAUUACACUUAUAUGAGCCUAUUGAAUAAAAAUUUACGUUCGCUUCCCUCAAAGCUGGCCAAUGAACUAAUUCCCGUCUCCAUAGCAUCCGCGAAGUUAUGGAUUCCGGUGCAAUUUAUCACUUUCAAGUACAUACCUCAAGAAUUUCGUAUACUGUGGGGUAACCUUAUCGCAAUGAUCUGGAAUAUCUACUUUUGCAUGAGAGAGAAACAAAAGGCUUCAUGAAAAUUCAGGAAUUGCUUAAAGAAUAAUAGGACGUCAUCAUCUCUAACAGAAAUAGAAACACAAGGCAUGGCAAAAUUGUUCUACUUUUUCUUGUUUAAAAAAAUUCUCUAUUUUGAUCUGCUUGAAUAGAUACGAUAGGUUGAGAAGAGACAUAUCUGCCCUUUUUUUGUUGAAAAAAAUCUGCUUGAGAUGACUCUUUUUUCCAAUAACACCAAAAAAAGUGCGAAAGAAAGACUCUGCCUACGUGUAGGUUCUCUUAUAUGUUUAUAGCAAUUUACCUUUUUUCAACAUCCACACGUUUUAACGAGUAAAAAGGAUGUUGCAGCCACACACGCUCAUCUGGGCCAGAGGCACACUUCAGGUUGGACGCGUUGAAGCCACCCUCGCCGGUGCAAUAGCUGCGAGUGCGUUGAACACUUUAUGUGAAAAGAAUAGGUCAAGAGUGCUCGCCAAAUCUCGAGAUCGGAAUGUAUUGUCCUCUAUUCGUCAAAGACGAAAAGACAAAGGCUGAACGAGAUUUAGACUAAUAGACUAUUUGUAUUCUAAAUAAAAGGCAACGUUCUGUACGACAUGCCUAUGAAAUCAGAAAAA